UACGAAGGGGGCUAGCGUUGCUCGGAAUCACUGGGCGUAAAGGGCGCGUAGGCGGCCGAUCAAGUCAGGGGUGAAAGCCUGUGGCUCAACCACAGAAUUGCCUUUGAUACUGUUCGGCUCGAGACCGGAAGAGGUAAGUGGAACUGCGAGUGUAGAGGUGAAAUUCGUAGAUAUUCGCAAGAACACCAGUGGCGAAGGCGGCUUACUGGUCCGGUUCUGACGCUGAGGCGCGAAAGCGUGGGGAGCAGACAGG
rnacentral:rRNA from 1 species